AUGAGUUUUCUACAUUGUGCUGCAUUGUUAAGAAAGAGUUUGAUGAUGCCACAAGAGCAAGAAUUAAAAGUCAUUUGUAGAACCAUGUUUCCUCAUGGCAGGAGGCGAGCAAUACUUUACUAUUACAAUGUUCAUUUUCAAUACAAUCAGAAGUAUGACACUGAUUGUCAAUUGCGUGUUCAUGCAGGUUGCGCGUUCAUGCAAUACUUUACCCAUGAAAUAGAAGAGUUGUGCAGGCGUGUGAUUCAAGUUCUUCGUCGGAAUGGACCCAACUCAUUCAGUGAAGAAAUUUCAAGGUUCUCUUUCGGAACUGGUUUGAGCUUCUAUAAGUUCAAUUUGAAGAACAGUAUCACAGAAUAA
rnacentral:rRNA from 1 species